GUGGUGUAGACCAGGGCCGGUCAGGCUUGGAGGCAGCCGCCCCCAUGGCGAGUAUGAAAGGAAGGUCCUGGACCAAUCGUUAACAGGGCUGGGAGUAGUCCGGUCAGGCGUCCCCGAACAGGCCGUCAACCCAGCGAGGAGAAGGCCGCUCAGUUAAGAUGGAUGUCUCCAAAUUGACACGCGAAAGGCAGCCUGGGAAAAUGCAGAAGAGAGGCCAAUCUGACUUGCGGAAUCUUGCGUGAAUUUAUCAAGCUCGUAAUGCCCAGACAGACGCAUCUCGUAGAAUGAAGCUUCCAUGCUCCAAAAGGACAGAUUCCAGGCGUCCUGCCCUGCAGACACUACUCUCACG
ensembl:lncRNA